CCUACGGGAGGCUGCAGUGAGGAAUAUUGAUCAAUGGACGAGAGUCUGAACCAGCCAAGUAGCGUGAAGGAUGACUGCCCUAUGGGUUGUAAACUUCUUUUAUAUGGGAAUAAAAUGUUCCACGUGUGGGAUUUUGUAUGUACCAUAUGAAUAAGGAUCGGCUAACUCCGUGCCAGCAGCCGCGGUAAUACGGAGGAUCCGAGCAUUAUCCGGAUUUAUUGGGUUUAAAGGGAGCGUAGGUGGAUUGUUAAGUCAGUUGUGAAAGUUUGCGGCUCAACCGUAAAAUUGCAGUUGAAACUGGCAGUCUUGAGUACAGUAGAGGUGGGCGGAAUUCGUGGUGUAGCGGUGAAAUGCUUAGAUAUCACGAAGAACUCCGAUUGCGAAGGCAGUUCACUGGACUGCAACUGACACUGAGGCUCGAAAGUGUGGGUAUCAAACAGGAUUAGAUACCCUUGUAGUC
rnacentral:rRNA from 1 species